rnacentral:rRNA from 1 species
CAUGCAAGUCGAACGCUCACCUUCGGGUGGGAGUGGCAGACGGGUGAGUAACACGUGCCCCCCAGCCCUUCGGUUCGGAAUAACCCUGGGAAACUAGGGCUAAUCCCGGAUACGUCCGAGAGGAGAAAGGUUUACUGCCGAAGGAUCGGCCCGCGUCUGAUUAGCUAGUUGGUGGGGUAACGGCCUACCAAGGCGACGAUCAGUAGCUGGUCUGAGAGGAUGAUCAGCCCCACUGGGACUGAGACACGGCCCACACUCCUACGGGAGGCAGCAGUGGGGAAUAUUGGACCCUGGG